rnacentral:rRNA from 1 species
UACGUAGGGGCCUAGCGUUGUCCGGAUUUAUUGGGCGUAAAGAGCUCGUAGGCGGUUCGGCAAGUCGGAUGUGAAAUCUCCACGCUCAACGUGGAGGGGCCAUUCGAAACUGCCGUGACUCGAGUCCGGUAGGGGAGUGUGGAAUUCCCGGUGUAGCGGUGAAAUGCGCAGAUAUCGGGAAGAACACCUAUGGCGAAGGCAGCUCUCUGGGACGGUACUGACGCUGAGACGCGAAAGCGUGGGGAGCGAACAGG